rnacentral:lncRNA from 1 species
AUGCAAAUCUCUGCAGACAUAAGACAGACAACAACACAACGUGGAAUUAAUGAAUUAAUGUCACCAAAAAGCACCUUAAUAAAAGGAGGGAGGUUACACAAGGAAACUGAACUACAAAAACCCUUUAUCUCUCUGUAUCUCUGUAUCUCUGUCUCUCUCUGUAUCUCUGUCUCUCUGUUUCUCUCUGUAUCUCUGUCUCUCUGUAUCUCUGUCUGUCUCUCUCUGUCUCUCUGUCUCUAUCUGUCUCUCUGUAUCUCUCUGUCUCUCUGUAUCUCUCUGUAUCUCUCUGUAUCUCUCUGUCUCUCUGUAUCUCUGUCUCUCUGUAUCUCUGUCUCUCUGUUUCUCUCUGUCUCUCUGUCUCUCUCUGUCUCUCUGUAUCUCUGUAUCUCUGUAUCUCUGUCUCUCUCUGUCUCUCUGUAUCUCUGUCUCUCUGUAUCUCUGUCUCUCUGUGUCUCUGUAUCUCUCUGUCUCUCUCUGUAUCUCUGUCUCUCUGUCUCUCUCUUUAUCUCUCUGUAUCUCUGUCUCUCUCUGUAUCUCUGUCUCUCUCUUUAUCUCUCUGUAUCUCUGUCUCUCUGUAUCUCUCUUUAUCUCUGUCUAUCUCUGUCUCUCUCUGUAUCUCUGUCUCUCUCUGUAUCUCUCUGUCUCUCUGUCUCUCUCUGUCUCUCUGUAUCUCUGUCUCUCUCUGUACCUCUUUAUCUCUCUGUAUCUCUGUCUCUCUCUGUAUCUCUGUCUCUCUCUGUAUCUCUGUCUCUCUCUUUAUCUCUCUGUAUCUCUGUAUCUCUGUCUCUCUCUGUAUCUCUGUCUCUCUGUCUCUCUCUUUAUCUCUCUGUAUCUCUGUCUCUCUCUUUAUCUCUCUGUAUCUCUGUCUCUCUCUUUAUCUCUCUGUCUCUCUCUUUAUCUCUUUAUCUCUCUGUAUCUCUGUCUCUCUCUUUAUCUCUCUGUAUCUCUGUCUCUGUCUCUCUCUGUAUCUCUGUCUAUCUCUGUCUCUCUGUCUCUCUCUGGAUCUCUGUCUCUCUCUGUAUCUCUGUCUCUCUCUGUAUCUCUGUCUCUCUCUUUAUCUCUCUAUAUCUCUGUCUCUCUCUGUAUCUCUGUCUCUCUGUUUCUCUCUGUAUCUCUGUCUCUCUCUGUAUCUCUGUCUCUCUCUGUAUCUCUGUAUCUCUGUCUCUCUCUGUAUCUCUGUCUCUCUCUGUAUCAAUUCAAUUCAAUGCAAGGGCUUUAUUGGCAUGGGAAACAUGUGUUAACAUUGCCAAAGCAAGUGAGGUAGAUAAUAUAUAA